CGGGUGCGUAGCUGAACUGCCAGGGAGCCGUGGGCCCGAUGUCGGCCCGGCGGCAGGACGGCCCAGGUGCGGGUGCAAUGAAGCUCCUUCCCGUGGGGCUCUCCGUCCUGCUCUGCGUCGUCGGGCUGCCCUGCAACUGCGCACUUCUGACUGCGCAGCUACGCUUCCGGCACGCGAGUGACGUUCUACUGCGCAGCUUGGCUCUGUCCGACUGCCUGCUGCUGCUGGCUACGCUACUGCCCCUCCCCCAGCUGCUGCUGCCCCCCAGGAUGCUCGGGGACACGGUCUGCGGGGCCCACCUGGCCCUCGGAUACCUGGCUCACGUGAGCGGAGGCCUCGCCCUCGCAGCCCUCAGUGUGUUUCGGUGUCUUCUGCUGCGGACGCACUGGGGUCACAGGGGUCACCGCUGGGCCGGCUGGGCGCUGUGCGCUCUCAUAUGGACCGUGUCGCUGCUGCUCGCUGCCCCAGCUGGCUUUUUGGCCAGAGCUCUGCCCGGAUCAGCGUUACCCUCAGAGUGCGAUCGCUCUUCCAGACUCGGUCCAGCUCCUGUGUCAACAGCAGCUCCGGUGGCAGGAACGAGGCCGGACCUCCCGCUCUUGACGCGGACGGAGACGGCAAGCGUCGCCGAGCCGCGUUCCAACACCACGUCUGUGUCGGCGCACCGGCCUCUCGCUGCCUUCACGCCCGAGCCCGCGGCGGGUCCGGCCCCGCUGGCGCUCUCGGCGGUUCUGUCCCUGCCCUCGUGCGGCCUGCUUUUCCCAGCUUCCCCCUGGCCCUGGUGUAGCCUCUGGAAGUGGGCCACGCUCUCAGCUGCCUACCUCUUCCCUCUGGCCACCAUGGUUGCCGGCUGCUGCCCCCUGCUGGUGCGGCUGUGCAGCGCAGGGCGCCGGCUGCCCCAGAGCCGGUGCGCGACGGCGUCGGCCGCUUGGUGGGUCCUGAGCUCGGUGACCACAUUCUCCGUGUGCUGGACUCCGCUCUACGUGCUGGUUCUGAGCGACCCCGGUCCGAGUUACAGGGUGGACUCGCUCCGGCUGCUGCUUGUGGUGCUCGGGACAUUCAGCUCUGCCAUUAACCCUGUUGUGUACACAAGGCUGGAUGGGAGGGUGCAUCGCCAUGGAGACCCCCGCCCUGCACAGACCCCGC
rnacentral:lncRNA from 1 species